rnacentral:rRNA from 1 species
UACGAAGGGGACUAGCGUUGUUCGGAAUCACUGGGCGUAAAGCGCACGUAGGCGGAUGUGUCAGUCAGGGGUGAAAUCCCGGGGCUCAACCUCGGAACUGCCUUUGAUACAGCACGUCUCGAGUCCGGAAGAGGUGGGUGGAAUUCCUAGUGUAGAGGUGAAAUUCGUAGAUAUUAGGAAGAACACCGGUGGCGAAGGCGGCCCACUGGUCCGGUACUGACGGCUGAGGUGCGAAAGCGUGGGGAGCAAACA